rnacentral:lncRNA from 1 species
AUAAUUUUGACAAAGAAAUUGUAGCCUCCCUGACUUUAAAUAUGUGAAUUUGAAAAUACUGAGUUUGGAGUAAUCAUUGUGCUUUGUGUUGGUCUAAAAAAUAUAACACUGGCUGUCAAAUCAGCAUGUCUGAAAAUAUUUAAUUCACUUCCAAAUGUCAUACAAAUUAUUGUGGCUUCUAUGUACCCUAAGGCUUCAGUCAUUUAGCUCAGGUACAUUACUAAAAGUAAUAUAUCAAUUCUUCCAGUACAGUGAUGUUUCACAUCAUUCACAUUUGCAUACUCUGGAAUAAAAUAGAAAGUAAUGUGUUAUAUUCAAAAUAUUCAGAAAAGCAAGCAAAAGGUCAAGGAAACUGCUGGUUAUUCUGAAAUAAUCUUGUGUUGAGGUGAGAAAUUAAAGAAAAAUAAAAUUAAAAAGAGAAAAAAGUUUUCCUGUUUUAGGCUAACUUGUCCAAGAGGCAGCAACAGGCACAGCCCAGACCUAGGAAAAGUCUUGAUAAUAUUAUCUAAUGUGCUCUGGAGACUCUCCCAGCACCCCCUCAACACAGGGAGAAGAAAAACAAAUUUUCCUUUGCUUUAUGGAAUGAGUUUAUAGAUUCUUGUUGUCUGUAACUAGUGAUUUUAAGUAUUCUGUUUUAUCUAAGAAGUACAAAAAAAGUCAUGAGAAGCCUGAGUAGGCCUGAACUACAGCUGCCUGGGCCCCACAGUGAAGGUUAUAGGAUAAGCCCCUGCACAGGCAAACCUAGAUAAGGAACAUCUGGGUUGCUUGGCAACGGUCAUAUGCAAUCCUGUCUUUGUCCUGCCUCUGGAUCCCUCCUUUCAUGCCACUGUAAGCUUGCUUCAAGCUAGCCCACCCCGUUUUGUGAAGUGUGUAUGAAAGUCAGGUGCUGUCUUUGUUCUGGGCCCAGCCUUUUGGACAUGAGUCAGCUGGGCCUGAGUGCACUCAAUAAAGAUUCUCCUGUUUCAACCCAAGGUCUCUCUCGUCCUCCUGAAUCCCGCAACAUUUCUGGUGAGUCAGCCAGGAGGCCGUGGAGAGGACAGGUUGGCUGUCUCCUUUGCCUGUAGGUGGUCUGGGGCCCCAGCAGUGGGAGACCUGUAACUUCAGGCACCACUGGAAGAACUUAAGCCCAGAGAAGGAAACGGCUCUUCCACUCCCCAGCGCCCCUCCCCAGAUGGUGCAUCAGAACCUGGAGGGUUGCAGGACAAUCUCAAGAGCAGCAGGCAGACAUCUGAACCGUGGUACAUCUAGUUCUUCUAUUUGUCUACCUAUAGGUGCACUCAUAACAUUUUAAUUUAUUUCAUGUGUUGUCAUCGUUAUCCUCUGUAUUACUCUGAGAAAGAAGAUGUUACCUGUUUGUGAAAAAGAGGGUCACAGAGUAUGUGUGAACCAAUACUUCAUUUGAGACAGCCUCACAUGGAGAAUGCAAUGAGCCAUUCUCUUCUCACAUACAGUUGAAUAUGACAUUUACUGCAGUUUGAUCACUAAGCAUAAGGUUAGGAAAUAUUUUCUUAUUCUUAUCUCCUUUGCUUUUAUGAUAAAUAUGUUGUUGAACUUAAGAAAAAAUUUAUUGGUACUUGUUGAGAUAAUCAUGAAUUUUUCAUAGCAAUUUACUAAUAUAAUAAAUUAUACUGACAGUUUUCUAAUGUUAAGCCAUUUUGGAAAUUGUUCUGCUUUAUAUUUAUAAGUAAAAGAGGACUAUAAUUUUAUUUUCUUGGAUUAUCCUUUCCUGGCUUUAAAAUUAAAAUAACACUAGCCUCAAAGAAAGAUCUUAGUAAUUUUAUAAUUCUCCCUUUUGAACAUGAAUAAGAUAGAUCUAUUCCUCAACAAUCCUCUAGGUCUGUUAUUUAUUUAUUUAUUUUGCAAAACAAGUCUUUGAUUUUGAUUU